rnacentral:rRNA from 1 species
GACAGAGGAUGCAAGCGUUAUCCGGAAUGAUUGGGCGUAAAGCGUCUGUAGGUGGCUUUUUAAGUCCGCCGUCAAAUCCCAGGGCUCAACCCUGGACAGGCGGUGGAAACUACCAAGCUGGAGUACGGUAGGGGCAGAGGGAAUUUCCGGUGGAGCGGUGAAAUGCGUUGAUAUCGGAAGGAACACCGGUGGCGAAAGCGGCGCACUGGGGCUUAACUGACGCUGAGGCACGAAAGCCAGGGUAGCGAACGGG